rnacentral:rRNA from 1 species
CUGCCAGUUGCCAACGGGUCGAAGCCGGGCACUCUGGCGGGACUGCCAUCGACAAGAUGGAGGAAGGUGGGGAUGACGUCAAGGUCAUCAUGGCCCUUAUGUCCAGGGCGACACACGUGCUACAAUGGCCGGCACAGCGGGAAGCGAGGCAGUGAUGCCAAGCGGAUCCCUUAAAGCCGGUCUCAGUUCGGAUUGAAGUCUGCAACUCGACUUCAUGAAGCUGGAAUCGCUAGUAAUCGCAGAUCAGCCAAGCUGCGGUGAAUACGUUCCCGGGCCUU